UGGUUGAAUGAGGUGAUCUUAGUGUUUUUUCCAACCUUGAUUCUAUGAUUUCAAUGUCCUUUUUGGUAGACUCAUGUCAGCUCCAAGUGCACCGUAAAACAUAUCCACCUGCACAAGCCUGUCAGCACCUCUGAGCUUGGCCUCCCUUUCUCAGCCCUCUUCUGGUCAUGGAACUGGGAGUAACAGAUCUCAGGGAAAACCCAGUUGUAAUGGCUGCUGCAACAUGUCCCAGCAGACACCAAUCUGGAUUACUGGAUUCCAGUACUGAAAGAGUACCAGCUACUGAUAUCAAAAACUUACUCGCAUGUGAAUUUCUUCAUUGAUGGACUCCUUUUUGUUGGUCUUUUUAACAUCCAGAUAUCUGACCAAUGGUCCAAUCGUGAUU